ACGUAAGUCAAUAUCUAUCAUUUCCGCAAAUAAUUAUGUUUGUAUUUCCAUAUUUGUAUAUAUGCAUUUGUGUAUGUGUGUAUAGCCGUUUAUAGAUAUUAUAGAAAUCUUUUAAAUAUCACACCAUUUUAUAUAAUGCAAAAACGAAUGCUGAAAAUGAAUUGAGCACAGCAGGAUAACAUUUUACAAAUAUUAAAUAUUGCUUUAUCAUUUUGCUUUCAAAUGUCCUGUGCUUCUUUCUCUUCUUUGUUAUUCUUUUAAUUCUUAGGAAAUGGUGAGCGUGUCGUGAAGGAUUUGAGAGUCAUUGUCUUCCCUUCUGAAAGUGUUUUUGUCUUGUAUUGGCUGAUUUUACAAAUGCAUGCUUACUUGAGGAUUGUUACAACUGGAUCUACACACAAUCAAAGGAACUCACAUCAAAGAGGUCAACUCAUGAAUACACCACAGACUCUUGAAAUGGAGAUUCUGUCUGCAGCUGAUCCUGAUGUUCUCACAGA